rnacentral:lncRNA from 1 species
CAACAUAUUUUCCUCAUUUACCAGCCCACUAGUAUCCAUGGGGAUCCAUAGGGGUCCCGCUACCCGUUAACCCUUAACACUUGAAAAACAGAUUCCAGAACCGUCCCCAUACCCCGUCCGGUAUGGGCGCCAAACCUAUAAACCUCAUUACCCCGUCCGGUAUGAGGGUGAAACGGGCCGUCCCCAUACCCCGUCUGGUAUGGGCGCCAAAACACAUAAGAU